UAAGGAAUAUUGCUCAAUGGGAGAAAUCCUGAAGCAGCAACGCCGCGUGGAGGAUGAAGGGUCUAUGACUUGUAAACUCCUGUAAAGAAGGAAAAAAUUCCCAUUAGAUGGGAGAUGAUGGUACUUCUGGAGUAAGCCCCGGCUAACUACGUGCCAGCAGCCGCGGUAAUACGUAGGGGGCAAGCGUUGUCCGGAUUUACUGGGUGUAAAGGGUGCUCAGGCGGAUUUGUAAGUCAGAGGUGAAAUCUUACAGCUUAACUGUGAAACUGCCUUUGAUAUUGCAAGCCUAGAGUAUGGAAGAGAGUGAUGGAAUAUCUGGUGUAGCAGUGAAAUGCGUAGAUAUCAGAUAGAACACCAAUGGCGAAGGCAGUCACUUGGUCCAUUACUGACGCUAAAGCACGAAAGCGUGGGUAGCAAACA
rnacentral:rRNA from 1 species